UACAGAGGUCUCAAGCGUUUGUUCGGAUUCAUUGGGCGUAAAGGGUGCGUAGGCGGGUCUUUAAGUCAGGGGUGAAAUCCUGGAGCUCAACUCCAGAACUGCCUUUGAUACUGAAGAUCUUGAGUUCGGGAGAGGUGAGUGGAACUGCGAGUGUAGAGGUGAAAUUCGUAGAGUAUUCGCAAGAACACCAGUGGCGAAGGCGGCUCACUGGCCCGAUACUGACGCUGAGGCACGAAAGCGUGGGAGCGAACGAG
rnacentral:rRNA from 1 species